GACGUAGGGCGCGAGCGUUGUCCGGAAUCAUUGGGCGUAAAGAGCGUGUAGGCGGCCACUUAAGUCCUGCGUGAAAUCUUGCGGCUCAACCGCAAGCGGUCGUGGGAAACUGGGUGGCUAGAGUGCGGGAGAGGGAGAGUGGAAUUCCUGGUGUAGCGGUGGAAUGCGCAGAUAUCAGGAAGAACACCCGUGGCGAAGGCGGCUCUCUGGAACGCAACUGACGCUGAGACGCGAAAGCGUGGGGAGCAAACAGG
rnacentral:rRNA from 1 species